GCCCUCCCUCUGCUCUCAGCUCAGCCUCUUUCCCUCGUUGAGUGUCUGCAGACAGUUUGAUCAGCUGUACCAUCCCAAAAGCUUCAUUCGUCCUGGGAAAUGAGGCAGUGGGAGCUCUGCAGGUGCACAAAGCCUGGUGAUGAGGGAGAAAGGUCCAACUUUUUUCACUGAGUGGAAGUUUUUCUGAAAUGGAGUCAGAUGUGGAAAAUUUAGUGUAAAAACCAGAGAGGGGAGGAAAAGGCAGCCAGAAUUCCCGACUCAGAUGGAGGAGCCCCUGCAUGGAUCCACAGGGAAGAGCAGGCUCAGCACCCCAUGGCAGAGGGAGCACUCAACAGAUUGGGAGGUUUAGUGAGCUGAGAAGAAGCAUUUUGAUGAUUCAGCACUGAUUUUCCCUGGAAAUCUUGGAGCUGCAUAAAAAUCUGAUGGUGAUUCUUCAGAGAAUCCAUAACAGAGAGGUCUAGUUUGGAAGGAACCUUGGAGACCUUCUCAAUCCAUGGGCAGGAUUGACUUCCACUAAAACAGGUUGUUCCAAGAAUAUUGUUGGUCUGAGAAGGAAAUCAGAGCUCAAAGCCACCCAGCCUGAAGGGACAGCAGUGUGGCCUUGGUGCUGGUGUGGUGUGAGGUGGAGGCAGAGCUGCCUCACAAUGUUCAGUGCCGGAAUUCCAAGAGUUCUCGGCUCUGGCUCAGCCCAGCCUCAUUCCAAGGCAGCAGGAAGGGCUGACAGGGAGCCAGCAGGGCUCUUGCAAUCCCUUUGGCUCCCCUAAUUACUUCUGGCUGCUCUGGAAGCCCCGAGGAGUUCAAAGGGACGAGGCUGGGUUUGCGCGGGGCUGUCUCUCCGCAUCUCCCAUCCCGGCUUCCCAGCCCAUGGUGGUCCAAAAGGGAUUGAAGAAAACAUUAAAAUAUAUUACAAAUGCACAUUCCCACACAGACAAAGGCAAGGAAAAUGGAGAGAAAUCAAAGGGCUAAGUGAACAAUGGAAAU